GAUAAAAUAGUAUAAGCAUUACGUCUCAUUUACACUGAGAAAAUUAAAUUUAUUUAUUUUAUUU
rnacentral:tRNA from 1 species